GAGCACUGUUCGUAACCUGUCAGUCUGGCUGUAUCUGGUGGGUUCCAUUCCAGUGCUAAAGCAUUUCCAGCGACACAUGACUGACUGGCUGACGGUGGCUUUCAGUUUCAGGUCCUGGAGACACUC
rnacentral:snoRNA from 1 species